GAUAAACGCUGGCGGCGUGCCUAAUACAUGCAAGUCGAGCGAACGGACGAGAAGCUUGCUUCUCUGAUGUUAGCGGCGGACGGGUGAGUAACACGUGGAUAACCUACCUAUAAGACUGGGAUAACUUCGGGAAACCGGAGCUAAUACCGGAUAAUAUUUUGAACCGCAUGGUUCAAAAGUGAAAGACGGUCUUGCUGUCACUUAUAGAUGGAUCCGCGCUGCAUUAGCUAGUUGGUAAGGUAACGGCUUACCAAGGCAACGAUGCAUAGCCGACCUGAGAGGGUGAUCGGCCACACUGGAACUGAGACACGGUCCAGACUCCUACGGGAGGCAGCAGUAGGGAAUCUUCCGCAAUGGGCGAAAGCCUGACGGAGCAACGCCGCGUGAGUGAUGAAGGUCUUCGGAUCGUAAAACUCUGUUAUUAGGGAAGAACAUAUGUGUAAGUAACUGUGCACAUCUUGACGGUACCUAAUCAGAAAGCCACGGCUAACUACGUGCCAGCAGCCGCGGUAAUACGUAGGUGGCAAGCGUUAUCCGGAAUUAUUGGGCGUAAAGCGCGCGUAGGCGGUUUUUUAAGUCUGAUGUGAAAGCCCACGGCUCAACCGUGGAGGGUCAUUGGAAACUGGAAAACUUGAGUGCAGAAGAGGAAAGUGGAAUUCCAUGUGUAGCGGUGAAAUGCGCAGAGAUAUGGAGGAACACCAGUGGCGAAGGCGACUUUCUGGUCUGUAACUGACGCUGAUGUGCGAAAGCGUGGGGAUCAAACAGGAUUAGAUACCCUGGUAGUCCACGCCGUAAACGAUGAGUGCUAAGUGUUAGGGGGUUUCCGCCCCUUAGUGCUGCAGCUAACGCAUUAAGCACUCCGCCUGGGGAGUACGACCGCAAGGUUGAAACUCAAAGGAAUUGACGGGGACCCGCACAAGCGGUGGAGCAUGUGGUUUAAUUCGAAGCAACGCGAAGAACCUUACCAAAUCUUGACAUCCUUUGACAACUCUAGAGAUAGAGCCUUCCCCUUCGGGGGACAAAGUGGCAGGUGGUGCAUGGUUGUCGUCAGCUCAUGUCGUGAGAUGUUGGGUUAAGUCCCGCAACGAGCGCAACCCUUAAGCUUAGUUGCCAUCAUUAAGUUGGGCACUCUAAGUUGACUGCCGGUGACAAACCGGAGGAAGGUGGGGAUGACGUCAAAUCAUCAUGCCCCUUAUGAUUUGGGCUACACACGUGCUACAAUGGACAAUACAAAGGGCAGCGAAACCGCGAGGUCAAGCAAAUCCCAUAAAGUUGUUCUCAGUUCGGAUUGUAGUCUGCAACUCGACUACAUGAAGCUGGAAUCGCUAGCAAUCGUAGAUCAGCAUGCUACGGUGAAUACGUUCCCGGGUCU
rnacentral:rRNA from 1 species